UGGCCCGUAGCUCAGUUGGUUAGAGCGCACGCCUGAUAAGCGUGAGGUCGGGAGUUCAACUCUCCCUGGGCCAACCA
rnacentral:tRNA from 1 species